CGGCAGGCCUAACACAUGCAAGUCGAACGGUAACAGAAAGCAGCUUGCUGCUUUGCUGACGAGUGGCGGACGGGUGAGUAAUGUCUGGGAAACUGCCCGAUGGAGGGGGAUAACUACUGGAAACGGUAGCUAAUACCGCAUAACGUCGCAAGACCAAAGAGGGGGACCUUCGGGCCUCUUGCCAUCGGAUGUGCCCAGAUGGGAUUAGCUAGUAGGUGGGGUAAAGGCUCACCUAGGCGACGAUCCCUAGCUGGUCUGAGAGGAUGACCAGCCACACUGGAACUGAGACACGGUCCAGACUCCUACGGGAGGCAGCAGUGGGGAAUAUUGCACAAUGGGCGCAAGCCUGAUGCAGCCAUGCCGCGUGUAUGAAGAAGGCCUUCGGGUUGUAAAGUACUUUCAGCGGGGAGGAAGGGAGUAAAGUUAAUACCUUCGCUCAUUGACGUUACCCGCAGAAGAAGCACCGGCUAACUCCGUGCCAGCAGCCGCGGUAAUACGGAGGGUGCAAGCGUCAAUCGGAAUUACUGGGCGUAAAGCGCACGCAGGCGGUUUGUUAAGUCAGAUGUGAAAUCCCCGGGCUCAACCUGGGAACUGCAUCUGAUACUGGCAAGCUUGAGUCUCGUAGAGGGGGGUAGAAUUCCAGGUGUAGCGGUGAAAUGCGUAGAGAUCUGGAGGAAUACCGGUGGCGAAGGCGGCCCCCUGGACGAAGACUGACGCUCAGGUGCGAAAGCGUGGGGAGCAAACAGGAUUAGAUACCCUGGUAGUCCACGCCGUAAACGAUGUCGACUUGGAGGUUGUGCCCUUGAGGCGUGGCUUCCGGAGCUAACGCGUUAAGUCGACCGCCUGGGGAGUACGGCCGCAAGGUUAAAACUCAAAUGAAUUGACGGGGGCCCGCACAAGCGGUGGAGCAUGUGGUUUAAUUCGAUGCAACGCGAAGAACCUUACCUGGUCUUGACAUCCACGGAAGUUUUCAGAGAUGAGAAUGUGCCUUCGGGAACCGUGAGACAGGUGCUGCAUGGCUGUCGUCAGCUCGUGUUGUGAAAUGUUGGGUUAAGUCCCGCAACGAGCGCAACCCUUAUCCUUUGUUGCCAGCGGUCCGGCCGGGAACUCAAAGGAGACUGCCAGUGAUAAACUGGAGGAAGGUGGGGAUGACGUCAAGUCAUCAUGGCCCUUACGACCAGGGCUACACACGUGCUACAAUGGCGCAUACAAAGAGAAGCGACCUCGCGAGAGCAAGCGGACCUCAUAAAGUGCGUCGUAGUCCGGAUUGGAGUCUGCAACUCGACUCCAUGAAGUCGGAAUCGCUAGUAAUCGUGGAUCAGAAUGCCACGGUGAAUACGUUCCCGGGCCUUGUACACACCGCCCGUCACACCAUGGGAGUGGGUUGCAAAAGAAGUAGGUAGCUUAACCUUCGGGAGGGCGCUUACCACUUUGUGAUUCAUGACUGGGGUGAAGUCGUA
rnacentral:rRNA from 1 species